rnacentral:tRNA from 1 species
GAGGGUAUAGCUCAGUGGUAGAAUGCAUGCUUAGCAUGCACAAGGCCCUGGGUUCAAUCCCCAGUACCUCUA